UACGAAGGGGGCUAGCGUUGUUCGGAUUUACUGGGCGUAAAGCGCACGUAGGCGGAUUGUUAAGUGAGGGGUGAAAUCCUGGAGCUCAACUCCAGAACUGCCUUUCAUACUGGCAAUCUAGAGUCCGGAAGAGGUAAGUGGAACUCCUAGUGUAGAGGUGGAAUUCGUAGAUAUUAGGAAGAACACCAGUGGCGAAGGCGGCUACUGGUCCGGUACUGACGCUGAGGUGCGAAAGCGUGGGGAGCAACAGG
rnacentral:rRNA from 1 species